rnacentral:rRNA from 1 species
UACGUAGGGUGCAGGCGUUAAUCGGAAUUACUGGGCGUAAAGGGCGCGUAGGCGGCAAUUCAAGUCAUCUGUGAAAUCUCCGGGCUUAACUCGGAACUGUCAGAUGAUACUGCUUUGCUAGAGUGCAGAAGGGGCAAUCGGAAUUCUUGGUGUAGCGGUGAAAUGCGUAGAUAUCAAGAGGAACACCUGAGGUGAAGACGGGUUGCUGGGCUGACACUGACGCUGAGGCGCGAAAGCCAGGGGAGCAAACGGG